UGUGGGUCUAAUCUAAUCCCAUUAGCUUAAAUUUUAAUGAGGUCAAACCUCAAGAACCCAUAAAUAAAACCAAAAUCUGGUACCCUUUAACUAAUUAUCUUUAAUUACCAACCAAAAUCGUUGACAAAAGCAAGUUGUGGGCCCACCCCACUUUCAAUUUCCCACCAGUGUACCUCUCAUUGCCUAUGUUUUCAUUCCACUGCUCACAGGAUGGGGGGAGAGAGAGAGAGAGAG
rnacentral:misc_RNA from 1 species